rnacentral:rRNA from 1 species
UUUUACAUGAAGAGGUCCCGCCUGCCCGGUGACUCUGGGUUAAACGGCCGCGGUAUUUUAACCGUGCGAAGGUAGCGCAAUCACUUGUCCUUUAAAUGAAGACCUGUAUGAAUGGCUAGACGAGGGCUUAACUGUCUCCUCUCCCCAGUCAAUGAAAUUGAUCUCCCCGUGCAGAAGCGGGGAUUUUUUCAUAAGACGAGAAGACCCUAUGGAGCUUUAGACACUAGACAGCCCACGUCAAACAACCUUAAUCUGCUAGGAGUGAACAUUGUGGCCCCUGUCUCCCCUGUCUUCGGUUGGGGCGACCGCGGAGGAGAAAAAGCCUCCAUGUGGAAUGAAGUUACCACCUUCACAGCUCAGAGCCGCAGCUCUAGGCAACAGAAAUUCUGACCAAAAAUGAUCCGGCAAACGCCGAUUAACGGAACAAGUUACCCUAGGGAUAACAGCGCAAUCCUCUCCCAGAGUCCCUAUCGACGAGGGGGUUUACGACCUCGAUGUUGGAUCAGGACAUCCUAUUGGUGCAGCCGCUAAUAAGGGUUCGUUUGUUCAACGAUUAAAGUCCU